UGGGGAAUAUUGCACAAUGGGCGCAAGCCUGAUGCAGCCAUGCCGCGUGUGUGAAGAAGGCCUUCGGGUUGUAAGCACUUUCAGCGAGGAGGAAGGGCAGUGUGUUAAUAGCACAUUGCAUUGACGUUACUCGCAGAAGAAGCACCGGCUAACUCCGUGCCAGCACCCGCGGUAAUACGGAGGGUGCAAGCGUUAAUCGGAAUUACUGGGCGUAAAGCGCACGCAGGCGGUUUGUUAAGUCAGAUGUGAAAUCCCCGCGCUUAACGUGGGAACUGCAUUUGAAACUGGCAAGCUAGAGUCUUGUAGAGGGGGGUAGAAUUCCAGGUGUAGCGGUGAGAUGCGUAGAGAUCUGGAGGAAUACCGGUGGCGAAGGCGGCUCCCUGGACAAAGACUGACGCUCAGGUGCGAAAGCGUGGGGAGCAAACA
rnacentral:rRNA from 1 species